rnacentral:rRNA from 1 species
AGCGUAGGCGGUCUGAUAAGUUGGAUGUGAAAUACCCGGGCUUAACUUGGGGGUGCAUCCAAUACUGUUGGACUAGAGUACAGGAGAGGAAAGCGGAAUUCCUAGUGUAGCGGUGAAAUGCAUAGAUAUUAGGAGGAACAUCGGUGGCGAAGGCGGCUUUCUGGACUGCAACUGACGCUGAGGCUCGAAAGCGUGGGGAGCAAACA